rnacentral:rRNA from 1 species
UACGUAGGGGGCAAGCGUUAUCCGGAUUUACUGGGUGUAAAGGGAGCGUAGACGGCGGUGCAAGCCAGAUGUGAAAGCCCGGGGCUCAACCCCGGGACUGCAUUUGGAACUGUGCUGCUAGAGUGUCGGAGAGGCAGGCGGAAUUCCUAGUGUAGCGGUGAAAUGCAUAGAUAUCACGCAGAACCCCGAUUGCGAAGGCAGCAUACCGGUGCACAACUGACGCUCAGGCACGAAAGCGUGGGUAUCGAACAGG